GUGGUUAGCUAGAUUAUUUUACUCUAAUAAGUAACUUAAUUGUUGAGUAAACUUGAAUGCUUAAAAAAACUAGAUUAAGUUUUUAAUUCUACUUAAUUAUCAACUGCUUUUAACGCAAAAAAAUUUAUUUGGAUUUGAAAAAAGGGAACAACAUUCUCAGACUUUUUCUUCUUUAACUCUAAAAAUUAAAAAUAAUAUCAGUGGUUUUUAAAAAAGGAAUUACUAUAGUUAAAAAAGGCUGAAAGGAAAAAAUAUAAUGAUUUGUUUCAAGAAAGGGAGUGACUUACUUCAAAAUCUCAUUUUAAAAUUUUUAUUCUUUAAUGAUAUUCUGGUGUUAUUACCAAAUGUUUAGCAGUAUGAAACCUAUAAUAUUAUAUACCAUACUAUAUACCCUAUUUUACUUAUAAAGUUAAUAAUCUGUAAAGUAAUUUGUAAAAAUUUUUUAAUUGUAAAAUUGCUACAUGAGAAGACAAGUUGUUAGAUGAAAUUCAAAUAUUCUCUAUGUUUGUGUUGUGUAGGUCAAAAAAUAAUAAACAAAGAUGAUAUUGAUUGUGAUGACCAAGAGAUUCAUUUUAAGACACAUCAAUCUUCAUCAUCUUUAAAUAAAAAGGAUAAACAUUAUGGAUUUCCAUUAUCUCAAGCAAAAACCAAGAGUUCAAAAUAUUAGUGGUAAGAACUGUCAAAAACUUGUGAUAGCUAUGAUGAAGAGAUUUGUGACAAAUUCGCUCAUGGCCAAAUCUAAUAUGGCAGCUGGAAAAGGCAAAGGAUCUUUUUAGCCUAACUAAGCUAUACAAUUUAAUAAAAGUUUGUCCAUCGACUUCUCACGAAUCAUACACAGAGUCGAUUAACGAUGCAAUAAUUGCGGAUUCGUGAAAACGGGCAACUUUUGCUUGUCUUAAAGUGCCUUAAAUCCAUCGUUAUAAUAUUACUUUGUUUGUAUAUUGUUUUGAAAAAUAAAUUUAAAAAUAACUAUUAAA